rnacentral:lncRNA from 1 species
UAUAUCUGCGACAAAUACAAUCCUCAGAUUUCUUAAAAAAAAUAAUAAUUCAUGCCACAAUCAAUACAAAAUCAAAAACUUCAUUAUGCAAGAUGAACAAUUCAAGGUAUGGAGUGACAGUCUGCAACUACAUAUAUAUUUACUUCAUACAGUAAUGAAAAUGCGACUCUGUAGCCAGCAGAUGAGUGUUAAGAAAAAGAAAGACAAGCAGUUCCUGUAUGGGGCCCUGCUGAAGCCUUCUUACAUAAAAGAAAACAGUAAGUUGUGUUGAUUCCCGGACCAAAGACAAAAGAAUUACUCAUAUAAGGUAUCAAAAAUGUGAAUCAGUGUAUGUAAAUCUGGAACAAAAACACCAGAAUACCCACCACUGUAUAUUGUUGCUCUUUAACAAGGCUGGUAUGGUAAAGGGGUAAGAAGGUAAAAAAAAAAUCAUCAACUAUUAGGUCUUUAGGUAUCAUAGAGACACGGAUGAUGAAGCAAGC